CAGUAGCCGCGGGAAUACGUAGGGUGCAAGCGUUAAUCGGAAUUACUGGGCGUAAAGCGUGCGCAGGCGGUUGUGUAAGACAGGUGUGAAAUCCCCGGGCUUAACCUGGGAAUUGCAUUUGUGACUGCACGACUAGAGUGUGUCAGAGGGGGGUGGAAUUCCACGUGUAGCAGUGAAAUGCGUAGAUAUGUGGAGGAACACCAAUGGCGAAGGCAGCCCCCUGGGAUAACACUGACGCUCAUGCACGAAAGCGUGGGGAGCAAACAGGAUUAGAUACCCCAGUAGUCCUGUCUCUUAUACA
rnacentral:rRNA from 1 species